UAAUACGGAGGGGGCUAGCGUUGUUCGGAAUUACUGGGCGUAAAGCGCGCGUAGGCGGCUUUGUAAGUUAGAGGUGAAAGCCCAGAGCUCAACUUUGGAAUAGCCUUUAAAACUGCAUCGCUUGAACACGGGAGAGGUGAGUGGAAUUCCGAGUGUAGAGGUGAAAUUCGUAGAUAUUCGGAAGAACACCAGUGGCGAAGGCGGCUCACUGGACCGUUGUUGACGCUGAGGUGCGAAAGCGUGGGGAGCAAACAGG
rnacentral:rRNA from 1 species